GAACGGGAGGGAGAAUUAAAUGAUAGAUUUGUUUACAUUAAUUUGGUUUUAUAUGUGCACGGUGGACAGACACCAUUGAAAAGUCAAAAGAUUUUGCACUAGCCGCAGUACCUAAAUAACAUUCAACUUUACCAAAAAUACCCUGAUUAGCAGGACCUAUAUUGACGUUAUAAAAAAAAUGUAUAUGUAUUAAACAUUUGAAACUUGACAAAUAACCCCAUCAGCAGCCUCUUUAUAAUAUGUCCAAUAUUCACUAUCCUCGUUGAUAUUUGAUUGGCCAAAUUGGCAAGUCCGGACAUACGCCUGUACGUCCACAACAUUGGCCAAUCCAUGCAAAAACAUUCGUAAUUGUCCAUCCUCUCCU
rnacentral:lncRNA from 1 species